rnacentral:rRNA from 1 species
ACAGUGGACGCGAGCAUCUGUGGCCAAGUUUUUAAGGGCGCACGGUGGAUGCCUUGGCACCAGGAACCGAUGAAGGACGUGGGAGGCCGCGAUAGGCCCCGGGGAGCUGUCAACCGAGCUUUGAUCCGGGGGUGUCCGAAUGGGGAAACCCGGCAGUCGUCAUGGGCUGUCACCCGCUGCUGAACACAUAGGCAGUGUGGAGGGAACGCGGGGAAGUGAAACAUCUCAGUACCCGCAGGAAGAGAAAACAACCGUGAUUCCGGGAGUAGUGGCGAGCGAAACCGGAUGAGGCCAAACCGGCAUGGUGUGAGACCCGGCAGGGGUUGCCAUGUUGGGGUUGUGGGAAAGUUCUUCAGUCGUCUGCCGGCGGCUGGGCGAGUCAGAAACCGUAUGGGUAGUCGAAGGACAUGCGAAAGGUCCGGCGUAGAGGGUAAGACCCCCGUAGACGAAAUCUGUACGGCUCGCUUGAGUUUCUCCCAAGUAGCACGGGGCCCGAGAAAUCCCGUGUGAAUCUGGCGGGACCACCCGCUAAGCCUAAAUAUUCCCUGGUGACCGAUAGCGGAUAGUACCGUGAGGGAAUGGUGAAAAGUACCGCGGGAGCGGAGUGAAAUAGUACCUGAAACCGUGUGCCUACAAGCCGUGGGGGCAGUCCUUUGGGGCUGUGACUGCGUGCCUUUUGAAGAAUGAGCCUGCGAGUUUGCGGUGUGUAGCGAGGUUAACCCGUGUGGGGUAGCCGUAGCGAAAGCGAGUCCGAAUAGGGCGCCUGAGUUGCAUGCCCAAGACCCGAAGCGGAGUGAUCUAGCCAUGGGCAGGUUGAAGCGCGGGUAAGACCGUGUGGAGGACCGAACCCACCAGGGUUGAAAACCUGGGGGAUGACCUGUGGUUAGGGGUGAAAGGCCAAUCAAACUCCGUGAUAGCUGGUUCUCCCCGAAAUGCAUUUAGGUGCAGCGUCGUGUGUUUCUUGCCGGAGGUAGAGCACUGGAUAGGCGAUGGGCCUCACCGGGUUACUGACCUUAGCCAAACUCCGAAUGCCGGUAAGUGAGAGCACGGCAGUGAGACUGUGGGGGAUAAGCUCCAUGGUCGAGAGGGAAACAGCCCAGAACACCGACUAAGGUCCCUAAGCGUGUGCUAAGUGGGAAAGGAUGUGGAGUCGCAGAGACAACCAGGAGGUUGGCUUAGAAGCAGCCACCCUUGAAAGAGUGCGUAAUAGCUCACUGGUCAAGUGAUUCCGCGCCGACAAUGUAGCGGGGCUCAAGCACAUCACCGAAGUCGUGUCAUUGCAGCAAUACUCCCAACGGAGGCUGUGAUGGGUAGGGGAGCGUCGUGUGCCGGGUGAAGCAGCCGAGGAAUCGAGUUGUGGACGGUUCACGAGUGAGAAUGCAGGCAUGAGUAGCGAUACAAGAGUGGGAAACUCUUGCGCCGAUUGACCAAGGGUUCCUGGGUCAAGCUGAUCUGCCCAGGGUAAGUCGGGACCUAAGGCGAGGCCGACAGGCGUAGUCGAUGGACAACGGGUUGAUAUUCCCGUACCCGCUUUGAAGCGCCAACGCUGAACCUCUUGAUGCUAAGCCCGUGAAGCCGGCCCGGAGUCUUCGGACAAUGGGACGUGGUGGAGCCGGUGGCCCAACGGGGUAGUAGGUGAGCGAUGGGGUGACGCAGGAAGGUAGUCCAGCCCGGGCGGUGGUAGUCCCGGGGUAAGGGUGUAGGACGUUGCGUAGGCAAAUCCGCGCAACACAUAGUCUGAGACCUGAUGCCGAGCCGAUUGUGGUGAAGUGGAUGAUCCUAUGCUGUCGAGAAAAGCCUCUAGCGAGUUUCAUGGCGGCCCGUACCCCAAACCGACUCAGGUGGUCAGGUAGAGAAUACCGAGGCGUUCGGGUGAACUGUGGUUAAGGAACUCGGCAAAAUGCCCCCGUAACUUCGGGAGAAGGGGGGCCAUUGCUGGUGAUGGGACGUGCUCCCUGAGCUGGUGGUGGCCGCAGAGACCAGCGAGAAGCGACUGUUUACUAAAAACACAGGUCCGUGCGAAGCCGUAAGGCGAUGUAUACGGACUGACGCCUGCCCGGUGCUGGAACGUUAAGGGGACCGGUUAGUCCGAUUUCGGUCGGGCGAAGCUGAGAACUUAAGCGCAGUAAACGGCGGUGGUAACUAUAACCAUCCUAAGGUAGCGAAAUUCCUUG